UGGGGAAUCUUCCGCAAUGGACGAAAGUCUGACGGAGCAACGCCGCGUGAGUGAUGACGGCCUUCGGGUUGUAAAGCUCUGUUAAUCGGGACGAAUGGUUCUUGUGCGAAUAGUGCAAGGAUUUGACGGUACCGGAAUAGAAAGCCACGGCUAACUACGUGCCAGCAGCCGCGGUUAUACGUAGGUGGCAAGCGUUGUCCGGCAUUAUUGGGCGUAAAGCGCGCGCAGGCGGAUUGGUCAGUCUGUCUUAAAAGUUCGGGGCUUAACCCCGUGAUGGGAUGGAAACGGGCAAUGUAGAGGAUCGGAGAGGAAAGGGGAAUUCCUAGGGUAGCGGUGAAAUGCGUAGAGAUUAGGAAGAACACCAGUGGCGAAGGCGACUUUCUGGAGGAAAACUGACGCUGAGGCGCGAAAGCCAGGGGAGCGAACGGG
rnacentral:rRNA from 1 species